rnacentral:rRNA from 1 species
AGCAGCCGCGGUAAUUCCAGCUCCAAUAGCGUAUAUUAAAGUUGUUGCAGUUAAAAAGCUCGUAGUUGAAUUUCGGGGUCAGUAGGUUGGUCAUGCCACUGGUGUGUACUGGCCUCACUGAUUCCUCCUUCCUGAUGAGCCGUAAUGCCAUUAAUUUGGUGUUGCGAGGAAUCUGGACUGUUACUUUGAAAAAUUGAGUGUUUAAAGCAGGCUAACGCUUGAAUACAUUAGCAUGGAAUAAUGAAAUAGGACGUUCGAUCUUAUUUUGUGGUUUCUAAGAUUGACGUAAUGAUUAAUAGGGAUAGUUGGGGCAUUAGUAUUCAAUUGUCAGAGGUGAAAUUCUUGGAUUUAUUGAAGACUAACUACUGCGAAAGCAUUUGCCAAGGAUGUUUUCAUUAAUCAAGAACGAAAGUUAGGGAUCGAAGACGA